CCUAGAUGUGCGAAAUUGAUAUGGGGAUUUGAGAGGGUUUGAUUGACAAAGGGGUAUGAUGAUGGAUCUGAAAAGGGUUGAUGCAAUGUCUGUUCCUGAUUCUAGUCAAUCCACUGUGACAAACCUAAUCCAUAUGAGAGACAAGCUCCCCAUGGCUGUCUACUCACGUUUAUUUUGCUUUCAUGAACUACUUUAGAACCUGGUUGAACUAAUCCCCAUGCUAUCGGUUUGUCAGAUUGUGAAACUUUCUUAUUUAUGCCAGUUUGUGAAACUAUCUUAUUGUUA